CGACGCCGAAAGGCGGAGCGAGAAGUCAGCAGAGGCCGUAGUAGCCGCAGUGUGGGCGAAGGGC
rfam:Thauera sp. 63 Cont4, whole genome shotgun sequence.